UGGGGAAUUUUGGACAAUGGGCGAAAGCCUGAUCCAGCAAUGCCGCGUGUGNGAAGAAGGCCUUCGGGUUGUAAAGCACUUUUGUCCGGAAAGAAAUCCUUGGCUCUAAUACAGUCGGGGGAUGACGGUACCGGAAGAAUAAGCACCGGCUAACUACGUGCCAGCAGCCGCGGUAAUACGUAGGGUGCAAGCGUUAAUCGGAAUUACUGGGCGUAAAGCGUGCGCAGGCGGUUUGCUAAGACCGAUGUGAAAUCCCCGGGCUCAACCUGGGAACUGCAUUGGUGACUGGCAGGCUAGAGUAUGGCAGAGGGGGGUAGAAUUCCACGUGUAGCAGUGAAAUGCGUAGAGAUGUGGAGGAAUACCGAUGGCGAAGGCAGCCCCCUGGGCAAUACUGACGCUCAUGCACGAAAGCGUGGGGAGCAAACAGGAUUAGAUACCCUGGUAGUCCACGCCCUAAACGAUGUCAACUAGUUGUUGGGGAUUCAUUUCCUUAGUAACGUAGCUAACGCGUGAAGUUGACCGCCUGGGGAGUACGGUCGCAAGAUUAAAACUCAAAUAAUUGACGGGGUCAUGCUGUUUCCU
rnacentral:rRNA from 1 species